CCCUUAGACGUUCUGGGCCGCACGCGCGCUACACUGACCAGUGCAACAAGCAUCCGUCCUUGGCCGACAGGCUCGGGCAAUCUUUGAACGCUGAUCGUGAUGGGGAUAGACUUUUGCAAUUUUUGGUCUUCAACGAGGAAUUCCUAGUAAACGCAAGUCAUCAACUUGCAUUGAUUACGUCCCUGCCCUUUGUACACACCGCCCGUCGCACCUACCGAUUGAAUGGUCCGGUGAAGCCUCCGGAUUGGCGCGCACCUCGGUGCCGCCGAGAAGUUGGCUAAACCUUACCAUUUAGAGGAAGGUGAAGUCGUAACA
rnacentral:rRNA from 1 species